GGGGAACCAGGCGGAAGGUCCAGACACAGGGGCUGUGAGGAGAGGGUAACUGACCCUGUCAGCACUGGGAGGCCGCUGAAGAAAGGUUAGUUGUGGGGAGUACACAGCACACGGCUGACACUGAUCAUUCUUGACUAGCAAAGAGCUGACUUACACCUGUGGGUUAAUUCGGUGGAAGAACAGGCCAUGCAGUCUUGAGAGUCAUCGGCUACACUUGCCCUUCAGGCUACAUUAACGGCUACUGUUUUGUGUUUCUCACUGCUGCACCACAACAUAAGAUGUCAAAAUCAGGAUGACCUAGAAGCUCAAUGCAAUCCAUCAACCAUAUCCUUUAGUUACUGAAAUUGAGAAACCAUUGACGUCUCAGCCUCACUUUGCCAAAACCUACCUUUUGUUCAAAUUUGACCAUAAGCUCCCUAUAGCCAACUCCUCUAACACUACGCCAACUGUAUGCCACUAGUGAGGGACACUAUGGGUCCUGAGUGGAUAAAAUAACCACUCUGACAAAACAAUGGGAAAAUGAAACAAUUUUGAUCAUUAUUGCUUUCCAAGAAAGAUUUCAGUCAAAAGGGGGAAAUGUGAAAUGUGACAAACUGAAAUCAAAAUGAAGUCAGCUUGGCAAAGGGAAGCAAUUAAAGUGGAGCUGGGAGGUCAUUCAAGAAAUAGGGUCUGCACACGUCAGCAGUUCACAUCUCAGGAGAACGCUGGGUGGGACUGGAACUUGCUGCCAGACUGCAGUCCUGCGACCACCAACUGCUGUGGACUUCUUUGGCCUCAUACCGGGCUUUGGCCAUAGCAGCCAAUCAGAAACUGAAUAGCGUGCCAGCUGUGCUGGCUCCAAACACAAAACAUUCAAAACAGUUUAUGUAAAUGAGUAAAAUUACUGCUGUUAACCUUUAAAAUCUCUAAACUUUGUUAACAAUUCGGAAUAUGUUUGAGUUGCUACCUGCAUCUACAUCUCCCAGAUUGCAAAUCCCCAAGACCUCAAAUAAACACAACUAAUUGUUUGCA